AACGAACGCUGGCGGCAUGCCUAACACAUGCAAGUCGAACGAGACCUUCGGGUCUAGUGGCGCACGGGUGCGUAACGCGUGGGAACCUGCCCUUAGGUUCGGAAUAACUCCCCGAAAGGGGUGCUAAUACCGGAUAAUGUCUUCGGACCAAAGAUUUAUCGCCUUUGGAUGGGCCCGCGUUGGAUUAGCUAGUUGGUAGGGUAAAAGCCUACCAAGGCGACGAUCCAUAGCUGGUCUGAGAGGAUGAUCAGCCACACUGGGACUGAGACACGGCCCAGACUCCUGCGGGAGGCAGCAGUAGGGAAGAUUGGACAAUGGGCGAAAGCCUGAUCCAGCAAUGCCGCGUGAGUGAUGAAGGCCUUAGGGUUGUAAAGCUCUUUUACCCGGGAGGAUAAUGACAGGACCGGGAGAAUAAGCUCCGGCUAACUCCGUG
rnacentral:rRNA from 1 species